UGGCAGAAAGAGGACCUACUAGGAAAAGAAUCAGAGGCGGGGAGAUUCAGCCAGUGACAUGGGCAUUUGUCAUCCAUGCACAAGGGUGACAGGAUUACCCACUUGCUGUGCAUAAACAAGGUCUCUCUCAAGGCUCUUUCCUCUCACAGGCAGUAGAAAAUGAAGGCACCUCCAGAUCUUCACAUCUCAAACCAUGUUGCUGAACUCAUCCCAUUUGCCAGCUGAGUCCUCCCCCUAGGCGCUCCUCUGUCAGGCAGUCUGGUAUACAGCUGUUAAAAAGGAGUGAUUAUGGUUUGAGUGCACUGGUGAGUGAGGGCUCUGAGAAAGGACUGAGAAAGAACUGCUUGGUGAAAGGUCUUCCCCCAAAGUUUGAGUAACACAAAGACAAAACUUCUAGGCAAGUAGGUGGAUCGUUUAACUGAGGGGAGACACAUCCAGAGUGUCUGUGAGUGAAAUUGUCCCAUGGACUAUGUCCUGUGUGGAAGAUAAAGGAGAAAGCCAGGGAGCUGCAGCAUCCACCUCUCUGCUUCCCACUGUGAGUCCAACUGGCCAGAUGCCUUUUUCUCUUAACAACAUAGCUGAGAGUCACUUCCAUGGUCACCUUUGCAGUGGGGAUGGAGUAUGCCUUCAAAGAGUGCUGCCAUGAGAAAAGGGCUGAAUUUAGGACCCUUUGUUUGCACAUUGAAGCUUACUGGUGUUUGUCCUCAUUAUCUUCUGGCAAGAUAGUAAAAGAGUCCAUUCCAAAGACUGACUCCAGAAGAAAGUCAACUCAUUCCAACAUGUAUCACUACAAUGAGCAAAUGAUACAUUUUUAUGACUUGUUUUUUGCUCAAAAGCAGGUUGCAUCUAUGGCUUCUCACUUCUUUCCUAAUUUUUGUAUCUCCAGAGUUGUCUCCCUUUGUGAUUUGUUUAUUGUUUCUACUUCAAUUUUUAUAUCCUGGAUGGUUUUGUUCAAUUCUUUCACCUGUUUGGAUGAGUUUUCCUGUACUUCUUUAAGGAAUUUUUGUGUUUACUCUUUAUGGGCUUCUACCUGUUUACCUGUGUUCUCCUGUAAUUCUUUAAGGGAGUUAUUUAAUGUCCUUUUUAUAGUCUUCCCUUAUCAUUAUGAGAAGUGACUUUAGAUCCAUAUCUUGUUUUUCUGGUGUGAUGUUGUAUCCAGGAAUUGCUAUGGGGGGAGAGUUGUGUUCUGAUGAUGCCAAGUAACCUUGGUUUCUGUUGCUUCUGUUCUUAUGCUUGCCUCCUGCCAUCUGAUUAUCUCAAGUGCUCCCUGCCCUCAAUAUUUGAAGAACAGAUUUGAACCUGUCCUUCCUGUAAUCCCAUUUGAGUCAGAAGUUCUCAGAGUCCAGUUUUCUCUAUGAUCCUGUGAUUUUGGGAUCCUGUGAUGCUGAGAUUCUUGGUGUGUCAGUGUUCUUGGCUGUCACGCUUCCUCUUAGAUGCUGAGAUCCUGGUGUAACCAAGCUCUUGGAAUCCUUGGAUCCUAAGAUCCUGGGCUUGUUAGAGCACCUGGAAAUGGUAUUGCCUCUGGGGACCAUGGGAAUGUCAGCUGGGUUUCAAAACAAGUUAGACCAGUGCUGCCUGGAAGUAACCUGAGCUACUAGUUGGGUGGGGGUCCCUGUGUCCCUGUUCCUGCUGGCUCCAGGCACUCCCCAUUCUGUUGGAACAGAUAUUGUGUUCUACUCACCAGUGAUCCUAAGACCAUGGGCAUUCUAGGGCGCCUGUGGGGGGGGGGUGUGUGUGUGGUGUGUGGAGCGUCCUCUGGGGACCAUGGGACUGUCCGCUGAGUUCACUCCCAGGGUGGCCAGGUGCUGGUGCUGACCAGAAGGAACCCAAGCCACUGAUCAGGUCUGGCCAUCAUAGAUACUGCUUUCUUCGUAGUGAAGAUGGAAGUCACAAGGAAGGAUUUCUCAGUGGUUGCUGGGUCAUGAGGAAUCAAGUUCUACCUCUGGUAAAAAGCCUCUUGCUCCCAGAAGAAAGUCAAGUAGGAACAUACACCUUUGAAUGACAUCUCGCCAUUUACUGAAGUUAUCAUCAUCAGAUCUGUGCUACCUACCCAUUAAAACUUGUCUGGACAUUUUUAAACCUCAAUAGUCAUCAUUCAUUGGAUCGGCAUAUGAUGGCUUAUGUGAAAUUUUAACUUCUG
rnacentral:lncRNA from 1 species